rnacentral:rRNA from 1 species
CCUACGGGAGGCAGCAGUGGGGAAUUUUGCGCAAUGGGGGAAACCCUGACGCAGCAACGCCGCGUGCGGGACGACGGCCCUCGGGUUGUAAACCGCUUUCAGUGGGGACGAUGGUGACGGUACCCACAGAAGAAGCUCCGGCUAACUACGUGCCAGCAGCCGCGGUAAUACGUAGGGAGCGAGCGUUAUCCGGAUUCAUUGGGCGUAAAGCGCGCGUAGGCGGCGCGUCAAGCGGGACCUCUAACCCCGGGGCUCAACCCCGGGCCGGGUCCCGGACUGGCGCGCUCGAGUGCGGUGGAGG